rnacentral:lncRNA from 1 species
UUCCUUUUCUUUUCUUUUCUUUUCUUCUCGUGGUUUUCCCUGGCCGAAACAGGAGACCGACAGGUCCCCUCCCUUUGACCGGUCGUCCAGACCGCAACCGGCACGGCGAAGGUCGACGGCAGGGGGCAACCCUCUCGAGUUCGGAGAGGCCAAGGCAGGCGAUCGGCAAUGAUCGCUGGGGCCAGAAAAUCAAAGAGAAGAAGAGACCAAACAGGGGGUUCCUUUCUCUGACGAAAUUUGACGACACUCGUCACCGGCAGUUGUGCACAGAGGCACGA